rnacentral:misc_RNA from 1 species
AAUGAAGCCGGAAAACUGGUCCUUCUAGCCCUUGAUUAUAAUAAUUUGUUGCUUUGGUGGGCCGCGCAAGCACCGGCUUCGGCUGGAUCGUGCCCGCCAGAGGACCACAACUCUGUAUCAAAUGUCGUCUGAGUACUAUAAAAUAGUUAAAACUUUCAACAACGGAUCUCUUGGUUCU